rnacentral:lncRNA from 1 species
AAAAGCCUGCAGCUGAGAGUUGCUAACGAUGUUCUUUUGGUUAGAAAUAGUGAUUUGUUUUUACCCCCAAUUGGAAUAAUAUCUAAAAUGUUUAAUAACUAAUUGGCUUUAAUUCCUCAUGCUGUUUUAUUUUAGAAAAUAUCAAAACUCAGUCUCUGAGAGGAAGACCUUCAAACUUGGUCCAUACGACAGCAGUUAGUAAGAGAGAGAUUACUGGUAAUCGUCAGAUGUGAGUUUUUUUUUUCUGCCAACAGAAGUCACAUUCAAAUUGUAUUUGGUGAAAGCUUUUCAGUGUUACUUAGAAGAGGCCACCUGAGCCUACGUAGUACUAUUCCUCAGCUUCACUCCAUGCUCGGUUCUUUCCUUGAGCUUUAAGUAGAGUUCUCUAGCAGGGCGGGCAGAGUGAUUUGGUGGGAAAAUCAGAACCAUGUCUGUAGAAUGACCUGUCUCAUCAGUUGAAGAUCCGGAGGAUUCUUGAACCUGUACACAAUCCAAAUUGUGAUUACUCAGGAAUCUUUAGAUUCCUGUGUACCUGCACACCUCUCUCUUGGCAACUAGGGAUUAAAAAGAUAAGCUAAAAGAUGUGGUGUGUUGCUAGUAUGCAAUUAUAGAAUGUGGUUAUUAAUGGUUGGAUUUUGAGGGACCUCCCUAAAGAAUGGGUUAUGUAUCUCCAAAGGAAAUCAUGGAAAAUUCUGUUAUUUUUCAGUGAGUCCUUUUGAAUUAAUGUUCUUACUUUUUUUCUAAGUCUGUGUAAGUGCUUAUGUAUAAGUAUAUAAUUGUAUAAAUAUUUAUAAAUAUAUUUAUAUAAUUACAAUUUCAUUUAUACCUUG